UACAGAGGGGCAAGCGUUGUUCGGAAUUACUGAGCGUAAAGGGCGCGUAGGCGGCCUGCUAAGUCGAACGUGAAAUCCCUGGGCUCAACCCAGGAACUGCGUCCGAUACUGGUUGGCUUGAAUCCGGGAGAGGGAUGUGGAAUUCCAGGUGUAGCGGUGAAAUGCGUAGAUAUCUGGAGGAACACCGGUGGCGAAGGCGACAUCCUGGACCGGUAUUGACGCUGAGGCGCGAAAGCCAGGGGAGCAAAC
rnacentral:rRNA from 1 species